rnacentral:rRNA from 1 species
CAAUUGCGUAUAUUAAAGUUGUUGCAGUUAAAAAGCUCGUAGUUGGAUUUCUGGUUGAAGCGACCGGUCGGGCGUUGAUUCGUCUGCACUGGAGUCGGUUUUGGCCAUCCUCUAGGAAAGUGCGUCUGGUAUUAAGUUAUCGGGCGUAUGAUCCUGGUCUUUUACUGUGAAAAAAUUAGAGUGUUUAAAGCAGGCCUUCGCCUUGAAUACAUUAGCAUGGAAUAAUAAGAUAGGACUUUGGUCUAUUUUGUUGGUUUGCAGACCGAAGUAAUGAUUAAUAGGGAUAGUUGGGGGUAUUUAUAUUCCGAUGUCAGAGGUGAAAUUCUUAGAUUUUCGGAAGAUAAACUUAUGCGAAAGCAUUUACCAAGGAUGUUUNCAUUAA